UGCUUAGUGGAUUGUACCACGUAUAGACAAUUUUGUACCAUGCUUUGGAUUGGAUGUCAAUCUGAAUGGUUUUACAAAACCAUUUACAUAAAUUCUGUAAAACUCAAAACCACUUUUGCUCCUCAUUAUCCCACACGAUUACACUAGAGGGAGAGAGAGUGGACGAGAUGAGUGAAUCGGCACACUAGGGUUUCGGCGGGUGGCAGUCAUCCGGUCAUCUCUGUUGACGUCGUACUCCGACAACUCAACCAGAAACGGUGAUGAGUAUAGAGAUUCCGACAGUGGUUCACAUAAGAUGGAAUCGUUUACAACCGCAAUUGGCUCCUAGAAACAGUUUGCUUAUGAUUCUCACAAAAAUUUCUACGGGACUCUCCCAAAGUUCAAACUCAUCUCAAACAGUAUUAUGAGAUCUCAGCCAAGAGCAAUUCAACUUUGAGAAGCCCUUUCUUUAUCUCGCCACGAAACUUGCUGGGGACCUCAACUUGCAUUUUGUGGAGUCUCAUAUGCUAGCUAGCUCUUCUAAUGGUGCGACUAGACAUGUUCGUUGAAUAACAACGAAAGGCUUAAUGACAUCGUUGGAAGUGCAUACUAGGUGGCGCCAGAAGUUCUACAUAGAAUAUCUAUUCUUUUAUGUGGAAGUAGGCCCUUUUGCGCCUGAACUAAAUCCGGUUUUCCCGGUUGUUUUUAAACGCUUGAUGAAGUAUCUUGGCCUACAUUAUCCUCUGAGGCCAAAGAUUUCUUAAACGUUUAUUAUUAAACAAGAAUCCUAUAAAGAAUGACGGCUGCUGAAGCAUUGAGUCAUCCAAGGAUUAGAAAUACAAAUGAUGUGAAAGUGCCACUCGAUGUCUCAGUAUUGAGACACAUGAACAAUUAUAUGCGUUCUUCUGCUCUUCAUAAAGCUACUAUACGGAUUCAACAAACAAAAAACCAACGUUAGGAAUGAUAGGAAUGGGAAACACCGUUUGUGCAGUUGCCAGCUGGGAAAGAACCAUAACUGGAAGCCGUUGUUCAAUAAGCCACAUUGCAUAGGAAAAUGCCUUUUAUGCAACUUAUGUUAGCUAACAUGCUCCAUGUUAGGCACGUAACAUGUGAAUUAAACAUAGAUACUAACUUUUUUUUUGCAUCUGCUUAUGUAACUAACCUUUUUUUUUUUUG